GUGAUUGCCUCAGGGUUUAUGCUCCCUGCUUUCCCCCCAUUAAUUUAUGGGCUUAUUGUAAACUCUUCAUUCUGUCAUUUCCCCACUCCAGGCAGCGUGGGGCAGGCAACAGUCCUGGGCAUUUUUUCCUUUCACCCUGCGUGUUGGCUGGUCCAUCUCUCAGCCAUUUGCAGCAAUUUGUGUGGGUAAGGACCAUGGCAGUGGCAUGCUUCAGCUGCAGACCAUUGCUCAUGGUAUCAAAUACUGAUGAAGAUGUGUUUUUCCCAGCUAGGGUGCUCUUGAAGGCAGUGACAUUUCCCCAGCAGUGCUGGGGGCUGCUGUGUAGGAUGAAAUGUUUUUCACCUGUUCAGUAGAUGGGCAGGGCUCUCAGCUGUGCCUCUCAAAUACAAGCACAGCACCUCCUUCCUGGAUUAGGGAUUUGUUUGUAGCCUUUUAUCAAAGUCAUUUGCAAGCCUUUGUACAUUUUGUGUUUUGUUUUUUUUUUUUUUCAACAAUCUUUUGAGGCAGGAAGAAGUUAUUUAUUGCAUCUCUCCUUGGCUUCUCAUCCUUGGACUGUGGGACUUGUAGACCACAUAGACAUCAUGUCUGAGAGAGUAGAGCUGCUUGAAGCAUGUCUGUGAGUCCCUGCUGUGGAAGAGGGGUGAGUGUCUGGCUCAGUAGCAACGUAGAAACCCUUUUUUAUGGGCUGUUUUUCUCCCCUGGUCUUUUCUAUAGCUUUGUGUAACGCUUCCCCUGUCUCCUAGUAGAGAUGCCUUUGCACUCUGGUCCCAUGGCAGCUGCAGUUCCAUCUGGUCCUGAAGCACUGCACUGUACUGGCACUAAAGGCUACAGCCAGCUAUAAAACUCACUCCUGCAGCUGAAAAAGGGAGCUUUGAACACCCAGUGUGCCAAAGAGAUGCAUUAGUAUCUGCUCUGAGCUGGGGGAGAAGGAAGGAGUGCUGGGAUAUGCCUUCCCACAACACAAAGGCCUCCUUAAUUGUGCUCCCUAUGAUUAAAUAACUCUUUGAAGACAUCACUGGAAGUUAUUUCUUCCAUGUGGGAAUGUCACUUGCCAGGAUGCUGAAGCCUUGAUCUGCAGGAGGGACACAAAAGUCCAACAGGGCUGCAAGAGUGUCUGAGAGGCUUUGCCAAAAUGCAGAUCAGGAGGGAACUUAUUUUAUGGGUGCCUACACCCUGGAAAAAUACUAGACACAGCUGUUUUCUGGAGGACAGGCCCUCACAUGGCAGGGAGCCAGCAGCAGCAGUACUCCAUCUUCCACAUGCUAUGCUGCUGCCAUGAUCCUGAAUGUGCCCAGGGCAGGACCCUGUCCCUGUGCCAGCCCAGGCUAAGCUCCCCUCAGAUGCCCACCCUGAAGCUUGCACCCUGAAUCCCUGAGGCAGAGGAGGCAGGUCUCCAUAGACAGAGGCAAGCGAUUGCCUGAAUAUUCAUGUAUCGGCAGGCAAGCUACAGCAGGCCCUUGUUACAAACUGCUACCCAAACUGCUUACAUCCAUAAAUGAGGGAAAUAAAUAAACAGAU